GCGCUUGCUAAUACAUGCAAGUCGAGCGGACAGAUGGGAGCUUGCUCCCUGAUGUUAGCGGCGGACGGGUGAGUAACACGUGGGUAACCUGCCUGUAAGACUGGGAUAACUCCGGGAAACCGGGGCUAAUACCGGAUGGUUGUUUGAACCGCAUGGUUCAAACAUAAAAGGUGGCUUCGGCUACCACUUACAGAUGGACCCGCGGCGCAUUAGCUAGUUUGGUGAGGUAACGGCUCACCAAGGCAACGAUGCGUAGCCGACCUGAGAGGGUGAUCGGCCACACUGGGACUGAGACACGGCCCAGACUCCUACGGGAGGCAGCAGUAGGGAAUCUUCCACAAUGGACGAAAGUCUGACGGAGCAACGCCGCGUGAGUGAUGAAGGUUUUCGGAUCGUAAAGCUCUGUUGUUAGGGAAGAACAAGUACCGUUCGAAUAGGGCGGUACCUUGACGGUACCUAACCAGAAAGCCACGGCUAACUACGUGCCAUCGACCGCGGUAAUACAUAGGUGGCAAGCGUUGUCCGGAAUUAUUGGGCGUAAAGGGCUCGCAGGCGGUUUCAUAACUCUGACGGGACAGCCUCCGGAUCAAACGGU
rnacentral:rRNA from 1 species